rnacentral:rRNA from 1 species
GUUGUUUAGUUGAAAAUCAAUUAAAUAAUUUUUGAUUUUGAGUAGUAUUGACUUCAUCAGCUUGCUGCUCUCUUUUCGGAAAUUAUUUAAUGCACUUUUCAGUUAACAAGUCAACAUCAAUUUCUUUUGUUGUAAAAGGGUAAGAGGAAGGUGGCUUACAUUUCGGUGUAAGUGUUUAUAGCCUUUUACCUCUGCAAUCGGAGAGAUUGAGGUCAGCAGCGUAGACUCUUCGGGGUUAGAUACACUUGUGCUAAGCUAUAGCCUUGUAUAGACAACUUGUUGACUAUGCUCAGUCAUGUAGCUUACUCGCUUGCAGUAUUUUACCUAC